AUACGUAGGGGGCGAGCGUUGUCCGGAAUGAUUGGGCGUAAAGGGCGCGUAGGCGGCGCGGUAAGUCUGGAGUGAAAGUCCUGCUUUCAAGGUGGGAAUUGCUUUGGAUACUGCCGCGCUUGAGUGCAGGAGAGGUUAUCGGAAUUCCCGGUGUAGCGGUGAAAUGCGUAGAGAUCGGGAGGAACACCAGUGGCGAAGGCGGGGAACUGGACUGCAACUGACGCUGAGGCGCGAAAGUGUUGGGAGCAAACAGGAUUAGAUACCCUGGUAGUCCACACUGUAAACGAGGAAUGCUAGGUGUAAGAGGUAUCGACCCCUUUUGUGCCGGAGUCAACACAAUAAGCAUUCCGCCUGGGGAGUACGGCCGCAAGGUUGAAACUCAAAGGAAUUGACGGGG
rnacentral:rRNA from 1 species